AUAGCGGAAGCCGAAAAGCUAAUGAGUAGGCA
rfam:Aquimarina atlantica strain 22II-S11-z7 contig1, whole genome shotgun sequence.